rnacentral:rRNA from 1 species
CCUACGGGAGGCUGCAGUGAGGAAUAUUGGUCAAUGGGCGGGAGCCUGAACCAGCCAAGCCGCGUGAGGGAAGAAGGUACAGCGUAUCGUAAACCUCUUUUGUCAGGGAACAAAGGCGGGGACUAGUCCCCGGAUGAGGGUACCUGAAGAAAAAGCAUCGGCUAACUCCGUGCCAGCAGCCGCGGUAAUACGGAGGAUGCGAGCGUUAUCCGGAUUUAUUGGGUUUAAAGGGUGCGCAGGCGGUCUGUUAAGUAAGCGGUCAAAGCCCGGGGCUCAACCCCGGCCCGCCGUUGAAACUGGCAGUCUCGAGUUGGAGAGAAGUAUGCGGAAUGCGCGGUGUAGCGGUGAAAUGCAUAGAUAUCGCGCAGAACUCCGAUUGCGAAGGCAGCAUGCCGGCUCCACACUGACGCUGAGGCACGAAAGCGUGGGUAUCGAACAGGAUUAGAUACCCCAGUAGUC